UCCCUCCGCCCCAUUUGCCUAUUUCUCUUUCUCUUAGGACAAAACAAAACACCGACGGAUACGCAACCAGACGGAACAACCGUGCGGAGGUAAAACGCUGAAGACCCCUUUCCGCUCAGCAUCACACACCCACUGGAGCUCCACGGCGCAGGCGUAAAGGCUGCGGCUCACUUCGCACUCCAGACCCAAGAGCCCCUCGCCAAAGCGGAUGUGACGCACAGGCGUGCAUCCAAGCGGCCUAGCCGAGGCCGGAAGAAGGCACGUCCAGGCGAUUUAGCCGAAUUCCGAGCGCUGGAAAGCCAGCUGCCAUAUUAUAAGGAUACUUAAUGGAGAAGCCCAUGUGGAGAGGUACUGAGGUCUACCACCAUCAGGUGUGAAUGAACCAUCUUGGGAGUAGAUCUUCCAGUCCAGUCAAGCUUUCAGACAAUUGAAAACGAGGCGAGCCAAAGGCUGGACACACUUUUCCCUAUGGAUUCUCAAUCCUGCACACCUGACUUUGACCUUCAGCAUAUAGGCAGCAGCUCUGACUAGAGUUUGGGACCACCAGGGAUUUUCCUACAGAGCAAGGAGGUGGAUUCUGCAGGCCAAGAGGAAGGGGACACAGUUCGCUUUGCUCUCCUUCCCUAGCUCUACAACCCAUUACUAUGGUGGAGAGUGACAAAAGGACAUCUUGCUGGGGUAGAAGACUGGAAAUUGGAGGGGGCGGGCAGUGCAGCUUGAGGCGUGGGAUAAAAACAUGGGAGCAUUUAGCCUAGAACCAAGUAAUUUCGGCCUCAUCAGCUUGGCUGAAAGUGAUAUUUAUACUCCGCUUGCAUCACGGGAUGAAAGCAGCCGGGGUUUCUCUGGGGCCCCCUCGCCUCCUCCACCCGACAGACCGGCCCCGCCUUGGGGCCGAGCAACGCUCAGCGGGCUUCACCCACCCAGACCGCCCUCUGGGCUGCCUCCGCCAUGUAUCUCCCUGUUGGGUGACCAAGCCCCGCCUCCGGAGCCCCGCACUUGCCUAACCCAAUCUCCUAUUUCCUCAGAGAUUCUAAUUUCAUUUUACCAGACCCUGACCCCUAAUCUUUAUUUUUGCCUGCCCAGUAUCCUCCCUGCCGCAACUUCCCCGUGGGAACCACCCCCUGCCUACCCCAGUCCCCUACAUGCCCAUCAAGGUGACCUGCUCUCUUCUGGCCAAGAGGAUCACAUCUUUAAAGAUGGGAUUUCAUGGAAAAACGCAGGGGAUGGGGACAUCGCCUUUGAGGCACCCUUCGAAUUAUGCCCAUUUUAGCUCUAACUUCGCUUAUUCCUCAAGGCUGGAGGGGAAGGUCCAUAAAGGAGAGAAGCCUAAGAACUCUUUAAACUGCGCUGAUUAUAAACUAGCUGCAUUUUACAGAUAGUCAGUAGCAAAGAACUAUGUAUUUUCUGAUAAGGUCUACUUCAUUCUCACACAAAGUAUUGUACAAGAGCAGUUUGUGGUUUUACAUCUAGCAAGAGAGUAAGGCUCAGUUCAAAAGAACGAAGUUAGUUUAUUUCUACAGGGUAAAGCGAUUCCUAGCCCCCUAUACAAAUCAGAGUUGCUGCAUCAACACUGCUUUUUAAACUUGUCUUUAAGCAUUUAUGUGUUCAAGGAUUAUGAUAUAUGCAUCCUGCUCUCAAAUGUCCAGCAAGUAGAUAGAUAGAUAGAUAGAUAGAUAGAUAGAUAGAUAGAUAGAUAGAUAGGUAGGUAGAUAGACAGGAAGGCAGGCAGGCAGGCAGACAGACAUAGA